CGCCCGCCGCCCGGCUCGCGUCCCCCCUGCGCGCGGGGAGGGCGCCCAGUUCCGAGGUGGCGCGAAGGGCGCCCAGCCGCGGGAGCUGGCGAGGAGCAGGGGGUGGGCCCAGCCCUGCCCGAAGACCGCGCCCGCCAGCCUCAGUUUCCCCGUCCGCCCAGUGAGAGGCUGGAAUGAGAUGAAGGUCCCCCAUCCUGACAUUGCAGGAGUGAGCCACAAAGGAAAAGAAGUCCAUCUCCACCUGCCCGCUGUGCCUCUGUGUUCUCCAGGAGGGGGCUGUGACGCGAAGCCGAACCUUCUUGAAAAUACGGAGGAGAAGACGGUGUGACAUGCUCUGGAGAAGCCGUAGGAUGAAGCAGAAAAUUCACAGAAAAGCUGCAGAUAACAAGGAGUUGCCCCAUAGAUGCUUCUCCCAAGACCUCAUAACGCCAAGUGUGUCCACCUGUUCCUGUUCCUCGGGAGCCAGGACAGCUGGAGAAGCACUGGCGAGGUAGCUUCCAGAACCUUCUGCAGUCUGGCAUUGCCCAGUGUUUUCUCGUGGUGAGUCUGGGGUUAUGGCUUUUGGAAAGAAGGCUCCAGAGAUGAAGAGCCCUUUUCACCCCGCCCCACCCCCUCCCCAGGGCCCCUGUUGUCCUCGAGGUGUCCACGUGUCUCCCAGGCAGUCACAGCGCACACCACCUUGGGGACACAGAGGCAGUGGCUGCGCUGGGAGCAGGCCCCCCAUGAGGAACGGCUUUCUGUCCCCUCCCAUGUAUUCUCACAUGACACAACCCACCCUUUUGCUUUUCGAGCAACUUCCUUACUUUCUGGCAAAACAGCAUGCGCGAAAGCUGUCACCCCAACUCUCCAGCUCAUAACUUGGUCUCUUGGUGAGUCAUUAUUAAGCACCUCCCGCAUACCCACUGUGUCAUGGCACCAGGAAUAAAGUCAGUGUUCAUAAAA